CCUGAAAGAAAAAGGCCUGGAUCAAACACCGGCAAAGAGGCGGUUCCAUUUUCAGGUGCUGGAGAGGGCAUUCUGCUUGUUUCUCCAUCCAGAAAAUAUUAAGUGACCACCAUGUGCUGCUAUCUGCCUCCCCAGCUGUGACAGAGAGAUGGCGUAAUGACAGGAUUGGUAUAUGCCUGUAUUCCCAGCACUCAGGAGGCUGAGGCAAGCAGACUGCUGUGAGUUGAAAGCCACCC